GCUACGGCCACACCGGCCUGAGUACGCCUGAUUCUCGUCUGAUCUCGGAAGCUAAGCAGGGUCGGGCCUGGUUUAGUACUUGGAUGGGAGACCGCCUGGGAAUACCAGGUGCUGUAAGCU
rnacentral:rRNA from 1 species